rnacentral:tRNA from 1 species
GGGGCUGGGGCUCAGAGGUAGAGCGCUCGUAUACCAUGCGAGAGGCACUGGGUUAGAUCCUCAGCACCA